rnacentral:rRNA from 1 species
GCCCAGUCGUAAACUUUUACUUACAUUUUAAUCGCCAGGGAACUACGAGCUAAGCUUAAAACCCAAAGGACUUGACGGUACCCCACAUCCCCCUAGAGGAGCCUGUCCUAUAAUCGAUAAUCCACGUUUAACCUCACCAUUUUUAGUUAAUCAGCCUGUAUACCUCCGUCGUCAGCUUACCACGUGAGCGCCAAUUAGUGAGCCUAAUGUUAUUUCACCCACACGUCAGGUCAAGGUGCAGCAAAUGAAAUGGGAAGAGAUGGGCUACACUUUCUACUAUAGAAGAAACGAAAAACUACCUAUGAAACCUAGUUGGAAGGCGGAUUUAGCAGUAAAAAGGAAUCAGCAUAUCCAUUUUAACCCGGCACUGGGGUGUGU